rnacentral:rRNA from 1 species
GGAGGAAAAGAAACCAACAGGGAUUGCCUCAGUAACGGCGAGUGAAGCGGCAAAAGCUCAAAUUUUAAAGCUGGCACCUUCGGUGUCCGCGUUGUAAUUUUGUGAGGCAUCUCCGGGUAGGGCGCCGGCCUAAGUUCCUUGGAACAGGACGUCAUAGAGGGUGAGAAUCCCGUGCUUGGCUGGCUGUCCCCGUCCAUGUGAGGUGUCUUCGACGAGUCGAGUUGUUUGGGAAUGCAGCUCAAAAUGGGUGGUAAAUUUCAUCUAAAGCUAAAUAUUGGUGGGAGACCGAUAGCGCACAAGUAGAGUGAUCGAAAGAUGAAAAGCACUUUGAAAAUAGAGUUAAAAAGUACGUGAAAUUGUUGAAAGGGAAGCGCUUGAGACCAGACUUCGGUGGGGGGUGAUCAGCUGUCCUUCUGGGCGGUGCACUUGCUCCCCUCCGGGCCAGCAUCGGUUGGGGCGGCGGGAUAAAGAUCCCGGGAAUGUGGCUCCUUUCGGGGAGUGUUAUAGCCCGGGUGAAUGCCGCCAGCUCCGACCGAGGACCGCGCCUUCGGGCUAGGAUGCUUGGCAUAAUGGUCUUCAGCGACCCGUCU